rnacentral:tRNA from 8 species
GCGGGGGUGCCCGAGCCAGGCCAAAGGGGCAGGGCUCAAGACCCUGUGGCGUAGGCCUGCGUGGGUUCAAAUCCCACCCCCCGCACCA